rnacentral:rRNA from 1 species
CCUACGGGUGGCAGCAGUCGAGAAUCAUUCACAAUGGGGGAAACCCUGAUGGUGCGACGCCGCGUGGGGGAAUGAAGGUCUUCGGAUUGUAAACCCCUGUCAUGUGGGAGCAAAUUAAAACGAUCGUACCACAAGAGGAAGAGACGGCUAACUCUGUGCCAGCAGCCUCGGUAAUACAGAGGUCUCAAGCGUUGUUCGGAAUCACUGGGCGUAAAGCGUGCGUAGGCUGUUUCGUAAGUCGUGUGUGAAAGGCGCGGGCUCAACCCGCGGACGGCACAUGAUACUGCGAGACUAGAGUAAGGGAGGGGGAACCGGAAUUCUCGGUGUAGCAGUGAAAUGCGUAGAUAUCGAGAGGAACACUCGUGGCGAAGGCGGGUUCCUGGACAUUAACUGACGCUGAGGCACGAAGGCCAGGGGAGCGAAAGGGAUUAGAUACCCCAGUAGUC